rnacentral:rRNA from 1 species
AUGAAACAUCUAAGAUGGAACUUCGGGGGGCUUGGGAACCCCGAGGCAGUUCGCGAGCUUCGCAAGAUUGUGAAGCAAGAAGGGCCUGCUCUAGUUUUUUUGAUGGAAACAAAGAUUAGGGCUAAGAGAGUGGAAGUUUUGCAGCAAAAUCUUGGUUUGGCGGGAUGUUUUGCGGUGGAUAGUGUUGGGCUCAGUGGCGGCAUUGGUCUCUUUUGGUCAAAAGAGGUGUCGGUUGAGCUCAAGAAUUACAGUUCCGGUCACAUUGAUGUAGUGGUCCGGCGAGUUGAUACCACGUCUCAAGAGUGGAGAUUCAUGGGGUUCUACGGGGCUCCAAGAAGUGAGGGUCGACAUAACAGCUGGAGUUGUUUGAGAAGAUUACAUGCUAUACCUCACCAAGCAUGGUUAUGUCUAGGGGAUUUCAAUGAAACGCAGCACAACUCGGAACACUUUAGCAGGGCGCAGAGGCCCGAGUGGCAGAUGCGUGCAUUUCGAGAGACUCUGGAUGAGUGUGCCCUACAGGAUAUUGGGUUCUCGGGGGUGCCUUUCACAUGGAAUAAUGGUCAAGCGGGCGGCAUGAAUGUAAAUGCCCGGCUCGACAGAGGUGUUGCGAACGAAGCUUUUCUUCAAAGCUUUGAGUUUGUACGAGUGCGUCAUAUAAGUGCGACAGAAUCAGACCGCUGCUUUGUCCUGAUUGAGACUCGAGAAGCGCAUAUUUCACGAGGGUCAAAAUAG